ACUUCUAUUUUCAAGGAAGAUAAUGACGGUACUUGAGGAAUAAGCAUCGGCUAACUCUUGCCAGCAGCCGCGGUAAUACAGAGGAUGCAAGCGUUUCCGGAAUGAUUGGGUGUAAAGCGUCCGCAGGUGGUUUUGUAAGUCUGCUUUAAAGCGUGUGGCUCAACCACAUACAGGCAGUGGAAACUAUGAGACUAGAGUAUGUUAGGGGUAGAGGGAAUUCCCAGUGUAGCGGUGAAAAAAUAGAGAUUGGGAAGAACACCGGUGGCGAAAGCGCUCUGCUAGGACAUAUGACACCCAGUUUCCCCGCAC
rnacentral:rRNA from 1 species